rnacentral:rRNA from 1 species
UACGUAGGGGGCGAGCGUUGUCCGGAUUCAUUGGGCGUAAAGAGCUCGUAGGCGGCUGCUCAAGUCGGAUGUGAAAACUCGGGGCUCAACUCCGAGCCUGCAUUCGAUACUGGGCGGCUUGAGUCUGGUAGGGGGAUCUGGAAUUCCUGGUGUAGCGGUGGAAUGCGCAGAUAUCAGGAGGAACACCGGUGGCGAAGGCGGGAUCCUGGGCCAGUACUGACGCUGAGGAGCGAAAGCGUGGGGAGCAAACAGGAUUAGAUACCCUGGUAGUCCACGCCGUAAACGAUGGGUGCUAGGUGUGGGAGGUCAUCGACUCCUUCCGUGCCGCAGCUAACGCAUUAAGCACCCCGCCUGGGGAGUACGGCCGCAAGGCUAAA